GGCCGGGUUCUGCGCAACGGGGCCUCGUGAACCGAGUCAGGGUCGGAAGGCAGCAGCUCUCAGCGAAGAGCCCUGUGUGCCGCAGGCGACCUGGCCGCU
rnacentral:SRP_RNA from 1 species